GCCCAGGCGCGAAAACUUUGCAAUAAGCGAAAGCUUGACAGGGCUAUCCCGAGUGCCAUCCGCUGAGGAAGGCUUUUACCCAGUCUAGAACGCUGGGGGAAUAAGGAGAGGGCAAGUCUGGUGUCAGCCGCCGCGGUAAUACCAGCUCUCCGAGUGGUGUGGAUGUUUAUUGGGCCUAAAGCAUCCGUAGCUGGCUAAGUUAGUCCCUUGUUAAAUCCACCGAAUUAAUCGUUGGAUUGCGGGGGAUACUGCUUGGCUAGGGGACGAGAGAGGCAGACGGUAUUUCCGGGGUAGGGGUGAAAUCCUAUAAUCCCGGGAAGACCACCAGUGGCGAAGGCUGUCUGCUAGAACGCGCCCGACGGUGAGGGAUGAAAGCUGGGGGAGCGAACCGGAUUAGAUACCCGGGUAGUCCCAGCUGUAAACGAUGCAGGCUAGGUGUUUGGACGGCCACGUGCCGUUCCAGUGCCGCAGGGAAGCUGUUAAGCCUGCCGCCUGGGGAGUACGAUCGCAAGAUUGAAACUUAAAGGAAUUGGCGGGGGAGCAC
rnacentral:rRNA from 1 species